GGGUUGUGAGGUUAAGCGACUAAGCGUACACGGUGGAUGCCCUGGCAGUCAGAGGCGAUGAAGGACGUGCUAAUCUGCGAUAAGCGUCGGUAAGGUGAUAUGAACCGUUAUAACCGGCGAUUUCCGAAUGGGGAAACCCAGUGUGUUUCGACACACUAUCAUUAACUGAAUCCAUAGGUUAAUGAGGCGAACCGGGGGAACUGAAACAUCUAAGUACCCCGAGGAAAAGAAAUCAACCGAGAUUCCCCCAGUAGCGGCGAGCGAACGGGGAGCAGCCCAGAGCCUGAAUCAGUGUGUGUGUUAGUGGAAGCGUCUGGAAAGGCGCGCGAUACAGGGUGACAGCCCCGUACACAAAAAUGCACAUGCUGUGAGCUCGAUGAGUAGGGCGGGACACGUGGUAUCCUGUCUGAAUAUGGGGGGACCAUCCUCCAAGGCUAAAUACUCCUGACUGACCGAUAGUGAACCAGUACCGUGAGGGAAAGGCGAAAAGAACCCCGGCGAGGGGAGUGAAAAAGAACCUGAAACCGUGUACGUACAAGCAGUGGGAGCACGCUUAGGCGUGUGACUGCGUACCUUUUGUAUAAUGGGUCAGCGACUUAUAUUCUGUAGCAAGGUUAACCGAAUAGGGGAGCCGAAGGGAAACCGAGUCUUAACUGGGCGUUAAGUUGCAGGGUAUAGACCCGAAACCCGGUGAUCUAGCCAUGGGCAGGUUGAAGGUUGGGUAACACUAACUGGAGGACCGAACCGACUAAUGUUGAAAAAUUAGCGGAUGACUUGUGGCUGGGGGUGAAAGGCCAAUCAAACCGGGAGAUAGCUGGUUCUCCCCGAAAGCUAUUUAGGUAGCGCCUCGUGAAUUCAUCUCCGGGGGUAGAGCACUGUUUCGGCAAGGGGGUCAUCCCGACUUACCAACCCGAUGCAAACUGCGAAUACCGGAGAAUGUUAUCACGGGAGACACACGGCGGGUGCUAACGUCCGUCGUGAAGAGGGAAACAACCCAGACCGCCAGCUAAGGUCCCAAAGUCAUGGUUAAGUGGGAAACGAUGUGGGAAGGCCCAGACAGCCAGGAUGUUGGCUUAGAAGCAGCCAUCAUUUAAAGAAAGCGUAAUAGCUCACUGGUCGAGUCGGCCUGCGCGGAAGAUGUAACGGGGCUAAACCAUGCACCGAAGCUGCGGCAGCGACGCUUAUGCGUUGUUGGGUAGGGGAGCGUUCUGUAAGCCUGUGAAGGUGUGCUGUGAGGCAUGCUGGAGGUAUCAGAAGUGCGAAUGCUGACAUAAGUAACGAUAAAGCGGGUGAAAAGCCCGCUCGCCGGAAGACCAAGGGUUCCUGUCCAACGUUAAUCGGGGCAGGGUGAGUCGACCCCUAAGGCGAGGCCGAAAGGCGUAGUCGAUGGGAAACAGGUUAAUAUUCCUGUACUUGGUGUUACUGCGAAGGGGGGACGGAGAAGGCUAUGUUGGCCGGGCGACGGUUGUCCCGGUUUAAGCGUGUAGGCUGGUUUUCCAGGCAAAUCCGGAAAAUCAAGGCUGAGGCGUGAUGACGAGGCACUACGGUGCUGAAGCAACAAAUGCCCUGCUUCCAGGAAAAGCCUCUAAGCAUCAGGUAACAUCAAAUCGUACCCCAAACCGACACAGGUGGUCAGGUAGAGAAUACCAAGGCGCUUGAGAGAACUCGGGUGAAGGAACUAGGCAAAAUGGUGCCGUAACUUCGGGAGAAGGCACGCUGAUAUGUAGGUGAAGUCCCUCGCGGAUGGAGCUGAAAUCAGUCGAAGAUACCAGCUGGCUGCAACUGUUUAUUAAAAACACAGCACUGUGCAAACACGAAAGUGGACGUAUACGGUGUGACGCCUGCCCGGUGCCGGAAGGUUAAUUGAUGGGGUUAGCCGCAAGGCGAAGCUCUUGAUCGAAGCCCCGGUAAACGGCGGCCGUAACUAUAACGGUCCUAAGGUAGCGAAAUUCCUUGUCGGGUAAGUUCCGACCUGCACGAAUGGCGUAAUGAUGGCCAGGCUGUCUCCACCCGAGACUCAGUGAAAUUGAACUCGCUGUGAAGAUGCAGUGUACCCGCGGCAAGACGGAAAGACCCCGUGAACCUUUACUAUAGCUUGACACUGAACAUUGAGCCUUGAUGUGUAGGAUAGGUGGGAGGCUUUGAAGUGUGGACGCCAGUCUGCAUGGAGCCGACCUUGAAAUACCACCCUUUAAUGUUUGAUGUUCUAACGUUGACCCGUAAUCCGGGUUGCGGACAGUGUCUGGUGGGUAGUUUGACUGGGGCGGUCUCCUCCUAAAGAGUAACGGAGGAGCACGAAGGUUGGCUAAUCCUGGUCGGACAUCAGGAGGUUAGUGCAAUGGCAUAAGCCAGCUUGACUGCGAGCGUGACGGCGCGAGCAGGUGCGAAAGCAGGUCAUAGUGAUCCGGUGGUUCUGAAUGGAAGGGCCAUCGCUCAACGGAUAAAAGGUACUCCGGGGAUAACAGGCUGAUACCGCCCAAGAGUUCAUAUCGACGGCGGUGUUUGGCACCUCGAUGUCGGCUCAUCACAUCCUGGGGCUGAAGUAGGUCCCAAGGGUAUGGCUGUUCGCCAUUUAAAGUGGUACGCGAGCUGGGUUUAGAACGUCGUGAGACAGUUCGGUCCCUAUCUGCCGUGGGCGCUGGAGAACUGAGGGGGGCUGCUCCUAGUACGAGAGGACCGGAGUGGACGCAUCACUGGUGUUCGGGUUGUCAUGCCAAUGGCACUGCCCGGUAGCUAAAUGCGGAAGAGAUAAGUGCUGAAAGCAUCUAAGCACGAAACUUGCCCCGAGAUGAGUUCUCCCUGACUCCUUGAGAGUCCUGAAGGAACGUUGAAGACGACGACGUUGAUAGGCCGGGUGUGUAAGCGCAGCGAUGCGUUGAGCUAACCGGUACUAAUGAACCGUGAGGCUUAACCUUACAACGCCGAAGCUGUU
rnacentral:rRNA from 1 species